rnacentral:lncRNA from 1 species
AGCAGAACCACGGGCACGGUGAUGAUGGUGACAAGCGCAGCAGCACCCAGCAGUCCCAGAAGAACCUUCCACGGUGUCUGCAAGCCGAGCAGAUCAAGUCCAAUUAGAGGGAAGCGUGUGGCCCCAGUUUCCGUAGGAGGGUCGGGGCUGCUCCAGAGGCAGCAGGAUUUGCAGGAAGGAAGACUGUACACAGAGAAUAAAUAACUUGGCCAAGCCAUUCAGCUAGGAAGUUGUAGAUCCUAAAUUAAGAGUUCAAGGUCUUAAUGGCUACUCUAUGCGGCCUCUCAUAGUCUUUUCAAGGGUUUUGGAGAAGAAUAAAAGAUCAGUCAUCCACAGAUGUUUGAGUGGUUACAAUGUGCCAGCCUCCCUUCUAGGUACUGGAGAUAAAGUGGGACAAGAGAGGUGAGGUCUGGACCCUUGGCACUUUCACGAUAAAAUACACAGGUAAACAUUUGCCUUUAGGGCCCCCUGUGAUUACUUCCACUCUUGCAGAUAAGAGGAUAAGGCCUCUUCAGCUUGUUCACAGCAGCUGAAAAGCAAAGCCUCUCUGUCAGUAGAGGUAAAAGAUUAAGAAUGCAG